UACAGAGGCCUCAAGCGUUAGGCGGAAUCACUGGGCUUAAAGCGUGUGUAGGCGGGUCGUUAAGUACCUUGUGAAAUCCCACGGCUUAACUGUGGAACGGCUUGGUAUACUGGCGAUCUUGAGCCACUUAGGGGCUACCGGAACAGAUGGUGGAGCGGUGAAAUGCGUAGAUAUCAUCUGGAACGCCAAUGGUGAAGGCAGCUCGCUGGGACGUGACUGACGCUGAGACGCGAAAGCGUGGGGAGCGAACAGG
rnacentral:rRNA from 1 species